CGCAUCUGUGCAUGCAGCAUAUCAAUAAGCGAGGAAAAGAAACUAACAAGGAUUCCCUUAGUAGCGGCGAGUGAAGCGGGAAGAGCUCAAAUUUGAAAUCUUCAAGGUUUUACCUUGACGAAUUGUAGUUUAAAGAAGUGUUUUCUGUUGAAGUUUUGGUAAAAGUUCUUUGGAAUAGGACAUCAUAGAGGGUGAGAAUCCCGUAUUUGACCAUUAUUUUCAGCUGUGUGAUACACUUUCAAAGAGUCGGAUUGUUUGGGAAUGCAGUCCAAAAUGGGUGGUAAAUUUCAUCUAAAGCUAAAUAUUGGCGAGAGACCGAUAGCGAACAAGUACCGUGAGGGGAAAGAUGAAAAGAACUUUGAAAAGAGAGUUAAACAGUACGUGAAAUUGUCAAAAGGGAAGCGUUUGACACCAGUGUUGUUUUCUCGAAAAUCAAUUAAAAAGAGUUUGAUUUUGUUGUGUAUUGACCUUAACAGCUUGCAUUUCAAUUUUCUUGCUUUUUUUAAUGCACUUUUCGUUUAACAAGUCAACAUCAGUUUCUUUUGUUGCUAAAAAGGUCAUUGGAAGGUGGCUUUCUUUUCGGAGAAAGUGUUUAUAGCCUUUGACUCCUGCAAUCGGAGAGACUGAGGUCUGCAGCGUAGAUCCUUCGGGGUUAGAUACAUUUGUGCUAAGUUAUAGCUUUUUAUAGACAACUUGUUGACUAUGAUUAGUCUUGUAGCUUACUCGCUUAUGCUAUUUUACCUACGCUUAGGAUGUUGACACACGCGCGUGCUCG
rnacentral:rRNA from 1 species